AUUGAACGCUGGCGGCAGGCCUAACACAUGCAAGUCGAACGAGUGGCGGACGGGUGAGUAAUGUCUGGGAAACUGCCUGAUGGAGGGGGAUAACUACUGGAAACGGUAGCUAAUACCGCAUACCAUCGGAUGUGCCCAGAUGGGAUUAGCUAGUAGGUGGGGUAACGGCUCACCUGGGCGACGAUCCCUAGCUGGUCGGAGAGGAUGACCGGCCACACUGGAACGGAAACACGGUCCAGACUCCAACGGGAGGCAGCGGUGGGGAAUAUUGCACAAUGGGCGCAAGCCUUAUGCAGCCAUGCCGCGUGUAUAAAGAAGGCCUUCGGGUUGUAAAGUACUUUCAGCGGGGAGGCGUUACCCGCAGAAGAAGCACCGGCUAACUCCGUGCCAGCAGCCGCGGUAAUUC
rnacentral:rRNA from 1 species